rnacentral:rRNA from 1 species
AACGAACGCUGGCGGCAGGCUUAACACAUGCAAGUCGAGCGCCUCGCAAGGGGAGCGGCAGACGGGUGAGUAACGCGUGGGAACAUGCCCAAAGGUACGGAACAACUCCGGGAAACUGGAGCUAAUACCGUAUGUGACCGAGAGGUUAAAGAUUUAUCGCCUUUGGAUUGGCCCGCGUUGGAUUAGCUAGUUGGUGGGGUAAAGGCCUACCAAGGCGACGAUCCAUAGCUGGUCUGAGAGGAUGAUCAGCCACACUGGGACUGAGACACGGCCCAGACUCCUACGGGAGGCAGCAGUGGGGAAUAUUGGACAAUGGGCGCAAGCCUGAUCCAGCCAUGCCGCGUGAGUGAUGAAGGCCUUAGGGUUGUAAAGCUCUUUCGCCAGGGACGAUAAUGACGGUACCUGGAUAAGAAGCCCCGGCUAACUUCGUGCCAGCAGCCGCAGUAAAAC